GCAGCAGCCAAAGAACUCACUCUCGCGAGAGCUUGCCCCCACCCACCUCGGGUCUCCAUUCGGCACGCGCCAGGAUCCUCCCCCUCCCUGGUGUGCGCACUACACGCCGGUUCCCAGCGGCUGUGGUGGUUCUCUAAUCCGGGAGCCCGCCGGUGGCGGGAGAUAAGGAAGCAGCUACAGUUUACGGGUUCGAGUCCCAUUUCCCCCAAAAAACCUUUUUCGAAACCCCUUUAUUGCAUGGUGUAAAAUUUAAAUAGGGUCUGUGUUAGAAGCGAGGCUUGGGAGUCCUUGGCUUAGAUCUGAUUUCUAUCCUCCCAGGCAAAUCUGAUUAUUUGCGGAGGAAUGGUAGGAAGCACCAGAAGGAGGAACCCAUGUCAUUUUGGCUGGUUUUUAAUCUCAGGAAUUCUGUGGGGGACCAUUGAGAGAUAACCAGGCACCCCAGGCAGAAGACAUGGAUACAAGUAUCCCCAUGAAUUAAAUGUUGACUGCAAAACAGGCCUGGAAGCACUGACUGAAGACCAUGCUGCCAAAUCCUUUAAAUGAAUAGGAAACAAGAAUCCCUUUGCCAUGCCUUCAGUCAUUUUACCCAACCUUCAGAGAAUUUCUGCCACGUGCCAGGCACUGUGCCUGGGAUCUAGCAGUGUACAAGAGAGUGGAAGAGCGGGGAGAGGAGGAGAGAGAAAGAGGCGAUCGAAUCUGCAACCCAGAAAACAACUCCGAGACCAUGUGGAUUCCUGCAACAGAGAGGAAUUGACAGGACUACUCCAGCCAUGAAGACAGAAGAGAAGCAGUCCAGAGAUGGAAGAUGCCGACGUCGCCUUGCCAUACUAGCAAUCAGCAGCUGUGCGUCACUGCAGGUUGCCCAGGACCAAACCAGAGAGGGUUGGACCUGCAUUACCACCAUUUGUCCACCAUCCAGAACUGAAAUAUCAUUGCUGACAUGUACUCAUAAGGAACUGUUUGACAUUGAAAUUGGGAUUCAAAAGAACUGUUGGCCCAGAAAGAAACUCACUACAGACUGAUUCAUUUGCC